CAGCAGCCGCGGUAAAACGUAGGUGGCAAGCGUUAUCCUGAAUUAUUGGGCGUAAAGCGCGCGUAGGCGGUUUUUUAAGUCUGAUGUGAAAGCCCACGGCUCAACCGUGGAGGGUCAUUGGAAACUGGAAAACUUGAGUGCAGAAGAGGAAAGUGGAAUUCCAUGUGUAGCGGUGAAAUGCGCAGAGAUAUGGAGGAACACCAGUGGCGAAGGCGACUUUCUGGUCUGUAACUGACGCUGAUGUGCGAAAGCGUGGGGAUCAAACAGGAUUAGAUACCCCAGUAGUCCCUGUCUCUUAUAC
rnacentral:rRNA from 1 species